CCAACUACCAGUCUCUCUCUCUCUCUCUCUCUCUCUCUCUCUCUCUCUCUUCAGACCAUAUCCCCUUGCCGCCAGCUCUCCCCGCCAAUGCAUCACCGCCGCCCCUUUUUCCAGCCAUGUAUUCUCCUUCCCACUUCCCCUCCACAUGACGGCGGCGUCUGAUACCUCACCUCCCGGAGGCGGGGUUGAUAGCCUCUUCCCCUCCCCGUGUUGCACAAGCGAGAAGGCGCUGUCACCUUGAAUUGCUACAUCCGGCUUGGGUGCUAGCCAUAAUGACGACAAGUUCCUUGUUCUUGCUGCUACAAACACCACACUAUUGGAUCAGGUCAAUCUCGGCGGUACCUGGUCACGGCCUAAGCAAGACCAAUUUGAAGAGCUUGGCUGCAGAGGAACUGAUAAUUGGGUCCUCAUAUCCAUCUGAUCAUGCUGUUCAUCAAUCCUGAGAGAUUUCGCGGUUACCUGGUUAUUGGAGGAGGCAAGGCGGCAGGAGCCGGGACAGGUGACAGUGCCAAUCGCCCUCUUCAGUCGGAGCGACCGAGAAUGUAUCAAGUCGCCAUGGCUGUAGCUUCAGCAGUGGUCGCUUGAAAGGAUCAAGCGGGAGUCUAAAGGUCACGGCUCAAGCGGGGUCUAAGGCGCCUAUAUAUGCUGAUAGCUAGGACGGUAAUGGUGGAAGUAAUUUUCGAUGGAAGUAAUGGUGGUUGAUGGUUACAAUAAAGGUAGGGGCUGGCUAAUUGAUUCUAGAACCGGGUAACGCGAGCGUUAAUUGGGCGAUGGUUGAAACUGAGCGAUGUAUAAGACCUCAAGGCAAGAUGAGUCUACAACAUAAUAAAUGAUACAAUGUAUGAGUAUGACACCACAUAAGUUACUACCCACUAUAAAGGUAGUAACCUAAACUAGUGACAUGUCAUAUGUUACUAGUCUAAGUUACUACCCACUAUGAUCAAUCUAAGGGAUUGAUGUUGGGUGACGAGCGGAGAGCAUGCCUGAGAUUAAUUGGGCUUUUGGUCCACUUGAGCGGGUGAGGGAUGAUCAUAGAGGAUCGGAUGAAGUUUCGUCGAAGGAACGACGGACCUCCUUUUUAAGUAGCAGAGAUUUGUAACUCUCUUUCUCAGAUUUGGUAGGUUUUUGAAAAAAUUAGUAGAAAUGGUACUCACCCGCAAACAUAGCCUCAAUUGACGUUGGUUUUUCAAA